AACCUUCCUUCGAGCGGGGAAUAGCCCAGAGAAAUUUGGAUUAAUACCCCAUAGUAUUGCAGAGUGGCAUCACAUUGCAAUUAAAGAUUUAUCACUUGAAGAUGGCUGUGCGGCUGAUUAGGUAGUUGGCGGGGUAACGGCCCACCAAGCCUGCGAUCAGUAACUGGUGUGAGAGCACGACCAGUCACACGGGCACUGAGACACGGGCCCG
rnacentral:rRNA from 1 species